AUUGACUGAGCCCACUACCUCAUCUCUGUUGACUUGUCUAAGUCAACAGAGUUUGAAACUCCACUAAACGCGCGUUUUCUCACCCUCUGUUUCACUAUGCCUUUGCCGUGAAACACCGCGCCGGCGUCCGUUGCCGGCGCCGAUAGUGGCCUACCACUAGGAUAUUACCACCACUGGAUGCACCAAGAUAAGCUAAACACGACUAUGGGAAUGGAUUUGGGAGAUGGUUCUCGGAUUGGUCGAAUCGAGCCUAAACAGUAGAAGAACCCUAGGUCUCUAAUCUUAAAUUAAAUGGAGUUUAUCACGAAUUAAUCUCUAAUAGCAAAGGGCUUUCACUCCCUAGCCUCAAAGCUACACUCCAGUAUGCUCAAUGUAAGAAAACGUUACACAAGAUAGGUGGGCUUACCGGAGAAGACGAUCGGAAACUUCAACAGGGUCUAUGUUGUGGAGCGUCGGUACCUGGAACUGCCUGAUUAUUGACGCGAUUUUCAUCCGUUCGCAGGUUGCGUUCCUGGUAAGCACAUGAGCAACACGGUGUUUGUAUCCUAGCAACAUUGGUUAGGAAGUUGGCGUCCGCUGUAAUCCUGGCAGCAUCACAUACUUCACGCUUGUUAGUCGUAUACGUUUUCUUGGUAAGAGUUCAGAUCUGAAGCAACUCAGGUGUCUACUCUCUUCUUGCCAACCAGAACAACUCCAUACUUGGAAAAACUUCAUGUUGCAAUGCCGGGCGUGUUACUUGGGAGUUUGACGAGCUGCUUGGGUGCCUGUCGGAUGUCGAAUUGUUACUGAAUAGUAGCUAGAAGUUGGUUUGAUUCCGAACUGCAGUAAACUGGACAGAAGCUGGACGGGCCAAACUGGAGUAAGCUUUAAUGUUGAAUUCUUGGUGUUGGAACUGCGAUCGAUGUCGGGAAUUGCCCAAAAUCGGAUGGCACAUGAACCAAGUUACGGUUGCGGAAGCAAAUCUCUGCAAUACCAAUCUAACUUCCGUAAUAAGAUGUCCUCACCCAUCCAGAGUUGUCCUGAACUACUGUGGCAUCGAGAAAUUAAGUCCAGGAGAUGGUUUACAGGAAAGUUGACAUACCAUGGUAAUGGUCAUGACAUUAAGCGACUCUCAACGUUGAAGUAAUGUGUUGGGGGUUCACAGUUUAGCCUAUUCUACAGUAUUACUUCUCCACCAUCAAAAGAGAAGGCCGUUUUCCAUUAUGUGCUCCAAAUACAUGGCUUAAACUCCAUCAUUCCAAAUGUAAUAUUCCAUUAUUUUAGAAUAUACUACAUGAGUCCCAGCGGUCGAAACUUAGGAUUAAUAGUACCUUUUGGUUGGUUUUAGUACUUGGUUGAAACACAGCAGUGCAAAUCGUCACCUUAUGAUGAUGCAGGCGACCCUUCCAAGAAGGGCAUGUAUGACAUCGGUUCGACCUCAUGAAAAUGAAGAGGGAGUGACGAUGAAUUACACAGAAAGGCCAUGGGUUUUGAAGCGAGAAAACUUUGAAACAAAGAAAGAACAAAUGGAACUUUCUUCUCUGUUUUGAGAUCGUUGUCCAUGAAAAUUCUUUUCCGAAUACGGUUUUAUGGAUUUCUGUUAUGAUUUUGUUCAAUGUCAACUCAGUUUUGUAUUAUAUUGUCAAGAGUGAAUUGACUCUGAUCUGCAUUAUGUGUUUGUGCAGUUCUGGCAGUUCUGGCAGUUACGGCAUUUUGGCGAGUUUCGUGCUGGAUGAGAGCUUGGAAGCUAGCUUACUUCUGAGAUGUUACAAGAUUCUCCACAUAUCCACUAUUAUGGGAUCCCACAUUAGAUGAGCCAUGACUAAGAGAAAUCGGUUUGGCUCGCAUUCUUGUCCUUGAUUUUGAUCCACCGUCGUCAGUUCUCGAUGAGGAGCAAACUGGACAUAACCAUUUGUCCCCUUUAUGUUUGGUUGAGCAUUUUCAUAGAAUUGUAUAGCACUAACUGCAGCAGGAGUUUCUGGCAUUUGGAGAAGAGCCUGAUUUUUGGCGCGCAACAUCAGAAGCUUUGUUAUGACCCCAAAAAGGGUGGAAUAGCUGGAGCAAAUCAAUUUCAGAUAUCUCAAGACCAACAUUUUGAACAUGACUGACCUCAGAUGCUUUUGUUUGUUUGUUUUUUCUAUUUUGAUUCGACAAGUACUAUGAUGUUAUGUGAAUGAAAAAAUGUAAAAUGUACAUUAUACUUAUGCAAUGAGAACCAAUGUAAUUCAUGACUCGAGUC